rfam:Nematostella vectensis strain CH2 x CH6 NEMVEscaffold_10900_Cont57046, whole genome shotgun sequence.
AUAAAGGCUGUUUUCACAGCCACUUGAAAAUGUAGUAUUCCAAUUUUU